GCUUCUUUCUGUUUCCGUCUACAAUUUUCAUUCAAAAGGCUUAGGUUGACCUGAAGCUUUAGUAGAAGACACUUGCCCAAGAUGCCACGUAGUGGGAUUGAAUCCUGAACUAUAUUGUUGGGAAGCAAGCUUCUAACCGCAUGACCACGCCUUCGUCAAAAUUUUAACAACGCAUUACAAGUGACGUUGUUUUGGAGUCAUCUGUUCCCACAUAACCUGUUAGUCGGAGAAGCUAUUCCGGAGAAGACUUUGCACCUAGCUGAUAGCAUUUAAACAACAGUACCUUGUCCAGUCCGGAAUUGUAAAAGCCUGGCAAUCUAGAGUCAAUAAAAUCUUGGAAGACCUGUUUUACAGCAUCGUCGUUUUAUAUCCCUACUUCUCAAUGUAGUUACUGUUUCUCUCAAUAGCAAUGUUCCACCUUCGAAUGAGAGCAUGUAUCCCUGCCCCAUAAAAUUCUGUUGACUGU
rnacentral:lncRNA from 1 species